rnacentral:siRNA from 1 species
AGGCUCCGAAUGAUAACUCCGUUUU